rnacentral:rRNA from 1 species
UACGUAGGGUGCAAGCGUUGUCCGGAAUUAUUGGGCGUAAAGAGCUCGUAGGCGGUUUGUCGCGUCUGCUGUGAAAACUCAGGGCUUAACCCUGAGCCUGCAGUGGGUACGGGCAGACUAGAGUGUGGUAGGGGAGAUCGGAAUUCCUGGUGUAGCGGUGGAAUGCGCAGAUAUCAGGAGGAACACCGGUGGCGAAGGCGGCUUUCUGGUCUGUAACUGACGCUGAGGCGCGAAAGCGUGGGGAGCAAACAGG